CAGCAAGAACGAAGCCCGAAGGGACAGAUUCCUUUGUACCACCACUGAGUUCGGGUGUGACUACUCCAGGAAAGAUCGGACCUCUAAAGUACAGACGCAGGUGUUGCUUGGUGACAGGCCUCCUUAAGACCCCAAACACAAAAUCCGCGAUGUCCCUCGGAGGCGUGGCCGUGUAAAGUGUGACCAGGAGGUGGUGGCGGCCACCAAGCACCAUGAGUUGCGGGUGCUGGCGGUCACCACACACCCACACUUCGUCAAGACAACACCUGGCAUCAUCUUCUAGCGGUCAGGAAGAUGCCCCUCACUCUCUGCCCUACGCCACCCAAGCCUGCUUUUUUCCCUGCGGAGUGACAGGAAGGCCAAGAGACUUAGUUUCGAGUCAGUCAAAAAGGGCCUGGGAAAACACCACAGGCUUGGUAAUCCAAAGGUAACUACACUUGUUCCUCGUGUUGGUGUUGAAAAGCACAUAGCACAC